GGUGCAUGGUUGUCGUCAGCUCGUGUCGUGAGAUGUUGGGUUAAGUCCCGCAACGAGCGCAACCCUGACCUUAGUUGCCAGCAUUCAGUUGGGCACUCUAAGGUGACUGCCGGCUAAAAGUCGGAGGAAGGUGGGGAUGACGUCAAAUCAUCAUGCCCCUUAUGACCUGGGCUACACACGUGCUACAAUGGGCGGUACAAAGGGUCGCGAACCCGCGAGGGGGAGCCAAUCCCAAAAAGCCGCUCUCAGUUCGGAUUGCAGGCUGCAACUCGCCUGCAUGAAGCCGGAAUCGCUAAUAGUCGCGGAUCAGCAUGCCGCGGUGAAUACGUUCCCGGGCCUU
rnacentral:rRNA from 1 species